CCUACGUGCGGCAGCAGUGAGGAAUAUUGGUCAAUGGACGAGAGUCUGAACCAGCCAAGUAGCGUGAAGGAUGACUGCCCUAUGGGUUGUAAACUUCUUUUAUAAAGGAAUAAAACGAGGCACGUGUGCCUUUUUGCAUGUACUUUAUGAAUAAGGAUCGGCUAACUCCGUGCCAGCAGGCGCGGUAAUACGGAGGAUCCGAGCGUUAUCCGGAUUUAUUGGGUUUAAAGGGAGAGUAGAUGGGUUGUUAAGUCAGGUGUGAAAGUUUGCGGCUCAACCGUAAAAUUGCAAUUGAUACUGGCAGUCUUGAGUACAGUUGAGGUAGGCGGAAUUCGUGGUGUAGCGGUGAAAUGCUUAGAUAUCACGAAGAACCCCGAUUGCGAAGGCAGCUUACUAAACUGUGACUGACAUUGAUGCUCGAAAGUGUGGGUAUCAAACAGGAUUAGAUACCCUUGUAGUC
rnacentral:rRNA from 1 species